rfam:Gymnopus luxurians FD-317 M1 unplaced genomic scaffold GYMLTscaffold_15, whole genome shotgun sequence.
UGCCCCAUGGCUGAGUUGGUUACAGCGUCCGACUGUUAUGCUCUCUCAUGUACAUCGGAAGGUCGAGAGUUCGAGCCUCUCUGGGGCAG